UCGGAGCCGAUCCUGGCUCAGGAUGAACGCUGGCGGCGUGCCUNAUACAUGCAAGUCGAGCGAAUGGAUUAAGAGCUUGCUCUUAUGAAGUUAGCGGCGGACGGGUGAGUAACACGUGGGUCAACCUACCCAUAAGACUGGGAUAACUCCGGGAAACCGGGGCUAAUACCGGAUCAAUAUUUUGAACUGCAUAGUUCGAAAUUGAAAGGCGGCUUCGGCUGUCACUUAUGGAUGGACCCGCGUCGCAUUAGCUAGUUGGUGAGGUCAACGGCUCACCAAGGCGACGAUGCGUAGCCGACCUGAGAGGGUGAUCGGCCACACUGGGACUGAGACACGGCCCAGACUCCUACGGGAGGCAGCAGUAGGGAAUCUUCCGCAAUGGACGAAAGUCUGACGGAGCAACGCCGCGUGAGUGAUGAAGGCUUUCGGGUCGUAAAACUCUGUUGUUAGGGAACGAACAAGUGCUAGUUGAAUAAGCUGGCACUUGACGGUACCUAACCAGAAA
rnacentral:rRNA from 1 species